AUUUUGAAUGAUUUGGAAUUUUUGUUGAAGAGAUAUAGGCAAUCAAAAUUAAGGUAUUGACUUUAUACAUACUAUCACUCUCUGGAUAUAAUGCAUGCGUAUGGAAAGAAAUAAAGAAUUAAAAAUUGAAAUUUGAGAGAAUAUCUUUUUUGCUAUAAUUUUCAUAUAUUUCUUAAUAAGUUCUAAGCUAGGAUAAAGGAGAUAUAGGAAGUUGAAGUCAGUGCUUGCAAUUUAAGAGUAGUAAGUAAUCUAUUUUAGUAGUUGUUGUAUUUUU
rnacentral:lncRNA from 1 species